rnacentral:rRNA from 1 species
UAAACUACGAUUAGAUACCCUAUUAUUGUGAGUGUAAAUUAGACAGGCCUGAGUAGUAAUAGUUAUGUUCUUGAAACUUAAAGAAUUUGGCGGUAUUUUAAUCCUUUCAGAGGAACCUGCCCCAUGAUCGAUAUCCCACGUUUUAUCUUACUUGAUUUUAUUAAGCUUGUAUACCGCCGUCGUCAGGGUAUCCUAGGAGGGUGUUAAUUUUCUAGACUUUGUCAUAGAAGAGAUGUCAGGUCAAGGUGCAGCUAAUGGUUAAGAGGAGGUGGGUUACAGUAAGUGAAUUUAUACGGAUUGUGGCUUGAAAAUAGCUGUUUGAAGGUGGAUUUGAUGGUAAAGUUAGUUAUAAAGCUAGUUUGAUUAAUGGCUCUAAAGUAUGUACACAUCGCCCGUCGCUCUUA